rnacentral:rRNA from 1 species
ACUCCGGGAAACCGGGGCUAAUACCGGAUGGUUGUUUGAACCGCAUGGUUCAAACAUAAAAGGUGGCUUCGGCUACCACUUACAGAUGGACCCGCGGCGCAUUAGCUAGUUGGUGAGGUAACGGCUCACCAAGGCAACGAUGCGUAGCCGACCUGAGAGGGUGAUCGGCCACACUGGGACUGAGACACGGCCCAGACUCCUACGGGAGGCAGCAGUAGGGAAUCUUCCGCAAUGGACGAAAGUCUGACGGAGCAACGCCGCGUGAGUGAUGAAGGUUUUCGGAUCGUAAAGCUCUGUUGUUAGGGAAGAACAAGUACCGUUCGAAUAGGGCGGUACCUUGACGGUACCUAACCAGAAAGCCACGGCUAACUACGUGCCAGCAGCCGCGGUAAUAC